CGCGUAGGCGGUUUGAUAAGUCCUGUGUGAAAGCCCCCGGCUCAACCGGGGAACUGCACUGGAUACUGUCGAGCUAGAGUGUAGAAGAGGAGAGCGGAAUUCCUGGUGGAGCGGUGAAAUGCGUAGAUAUCAGGAGGAACACCGGUGGCGAAGGCGGUUCUCUGGGCAUGAUCUGACGCUGAGGAGCGAAAGUGUGGGGAGCGAACA
rnacentral:rRNA from 1 species